rnacentral:rRNA from 1 species
CCUACGGGAGGCUGCAGUGGGGAAUAUUGCACAAUGGGGGGAACCCUGAUGCAGCGACGCCGCGUGAGUGAAGAAGGAUUUCGGUAUGUAAAGCUCUAUUAGCAGGGAAGAUAAUGACUGUACCUGACUAAGAAGCCCCGGCCAACUACGUGCCAGCAGCGGCGGUAAUACGGAGGGGGCAAGCGUUAUCCGGAUUUACUGGGGGUAAAGGGUGCGUAGGUGGCUGGGCAAGGCAGAUGUGAAAGCCCGGGGCCCAACCCCGGUACUGCAUUUGAAACCGUCCGGCUUGAGUGCAGGAGAGGUAAGCGGAAUUCCUGGUGUAGCGGUGAAAUGCGUAGAUAUUAGGAGGAACACCGGUGGCGAAGGCGGCUUACUGGACUGUAACUGACGCUGAGGCACGAAAGCGUGGGGAGCAAACAGGAUUAGAUACCCGAGUAGUC